AUUAAAGAUAAUUCAAAAUAACAAUAAAGUGCUUGAGUAACUAAUAAACGACUAAAUAGAUAAGUAAUAUAUAAGUUUAACAAUAGUAAUAGAUGGCAUUAAUUAAUAUAAUUCAGUUUUUUCAUUAAAAAGCAUCUACAAGAUGCACAGAGAAAAUAGCCCAAAGUGGCCAAUUGGAAUAAUAGAGAAAAGUCGAGACAAAGUCUGGUCAUUUUCUCCAACAUGGGCUUAAGCUAAAUUUAACUUAAAUUACAAAAUGUUUAUGAUAAUUAAUAUAGAUAAUUAAAUAAAAAUAGUUUAACAAUUCAUUUUGGCAGUUUUGAUUUCAUUAAUAUUCAUUCGAUAUAUCGCAAGAGUAACUGAGUAAGUGACGAUGCACCCCUGGCAUUGUGCCUAUCGGAGUGCAUAAUCAAAACAAAAACAAAAAACAGCUGAUUGGGAAUUGCAUUACAUGCAAAUUUUAUGCUGCCAAUUGCUGCUAUUAUACGAAAUGCAGAGGAGCGCAGAUAUUGAAGAUAGCGAAAUUGCAUUAACUGCAAGCUGACUAGCAGCUGCUGCCAUAUAAAGUGCAGAGGGGCGCAAAACCGAGAUAGCAGAACUGCAUUAAUUGCAAGCUGACUAGCAGAGCACAUCAACUGCGGCAAGGAGAUUUAGCCAAGUGGGCUGCACAGCCAAUAGGGCGGAUAUUUAAGUUAGUUUUUAGU